rnacentral:pre_miRNA from 1 species
GUAGUAUUCCUCCGUCCCAAAAUUCUUGUCUUACAUUUGUUUAGAUACAGAUGUAUCUAACACUAAAAUGUAACUAGAUACAUCCGUAUUUAGACAAAUUUAAAACAAGAAUUUUGGGACGGAGGGAGUACAAA